GAUGAACGCUGGCGGCGUGCCUAAUACAUGCAAGUCGAGCGAACAGACGAGGAGCUUGCUCCUCUGACGUUAUCGGCGGACGGGUGAGUAACACGUGGAUAACCUACCUAUAAGACUGGGAUAACUUCGGGAAACCGGAGCUAAUACCGGAUAAUAUAUUGAACCGCAUGGUUCAAUAGUGAAAGACGGUUUUGCUGUCACUUAUAGAUGGAUCCGCGCCGCAUUAGCUAGUUGGUAAGGUAACGGCUUACCAAGGCAACGAUGCGUAGCCGACCUGAGAGGGUGAUCGGCCACACUGGAACUGAGACACGGUCCAGACUCCUACGGGAGGCAGCAGUAGGGAAUCUUCCGCGAUGGGCGAGAGCCUGACGGAGCACCGCCGCGUGAGUCAUGAAGGUCUUCGGCUCGUAAAGCUCUGUUAUUAGGGAAGAACAAAUGUGUAAGUACCUAUGCACGUCUUGACGGUACCUAAUCAGAAAGCCACGGCUAACUACGUG
rnacentral:rRNA from 1 species